CCUUGCCCUCUCCUCCUCCUCUACACAAUGGCUAGACACUGUGGAUUCUGGACCCUUUUUUCCCUCCUGUUUCUGUAUUUUUUGUAGGUGAUCUCCUAAGACCCACAGCUUUCAACAUCUUCUGUAAGUUGAAUGACUCAUAGCUUUAUGUCUCCCGCCUGAACAUCUCCCCGGAGCUCCAGUGUGAAUGUCCAGCUUAGAACUCAACAUUUCCAUUUGGAUGUUUAAGAAAGGGAAAAGAAUCCCCCAGAUUCUGAGAAUGGUUUCUGCGCUGACAUCCAUCCUCCAGAAAUACUAUUUUCAUGGCUCUGGCUAUGAACAUCAGCAUAUAGAGGAUGGAUCACUACCAAAGAAGGCACCCAAAUGUGUCCGUCUCAUCCUGAGGAAACCCACUCAUCUGUACAUGUACUCAGCAAGUGUUUGCUGGCACCUGCUCUGAGUCACAGGGUGUGCUGGGUACUGGAUGCUCAGAGAUGUGGAAGGAGGCUGGACUUUCAAGGUAAUGUACCCAUACCCACCUCGGGGACUUGAACAUGAAAAAAACAAAAGAUCACAGUGCAAGCUGAUAAAUACUCUGAUAGAGGUGUGGGAAGAAAUGCUCCAGGAGGAGCUCAGUGGAUUGGUGAAGUUUGCUUUAUUCAUUUAAGCAAAUAAAAAUGGGUUCUGGAUACAUUCAGCAAAAGACACUUUGGAAGGCAAGAAAGAUCUUGAUCGCCAAGUUUAUAUGCUUGAUCUUAUGCUAACCAGAGGGCCUCUGGCUAAUUCAUUGAACUUAAAGAUGAGAGAUAUAAUUUUCUUUACAAAAAGACAAGUUUCCCAAAUUUGCUGACCUUUCCAAUGAUGACAGGUGGCUGUUGCUAUUAGAUAUUUUUGAAAAAGUAAACAUCUGUAAUCUGCCCUUUCAAGGUAAAGGCGAUAUUUUUUAACAAUGAGUGAGAAAGGAACUGUUUUUUUCAAACGGCACAGAAGGAAGAACAUUUAAAAAUGGAUGUUUGAAGUGUUUCCACCGUUACAUGAUCUUAUUGCCUAAAAUUUUGUCAGAGUGUCAUUUAUAAACACAGUUAUAUCUGUGUUCUAUAAAAACUCGGAAACAGAAUUUUCUAAAAUGUUAAAAAGUCUCCUACAUAGAAAAUCCUGGAGGACAUUGUAUGCAUUUGUUUAAAAUACAUAAAUGCCAUGACUUCCAACUCAUUUGCAGAAAUGAACAAUUGUACGUGGAAUAUGGAGCUCUGUAGGCGCAUAUUCAUAUCUUUUGUGUAAUUGGUAGAUGGGAUUGAAAAUGAGUCUAACAUAAAAAGUGCAGGCAAAAGUAUGCCUUCCACUGUUAUCUCUAUGCCUUUUGCAUGACUUUCAGCCCAAGUCAUGAAAACCAUGUACUAAAUAAACAUACUUUCAACUUGACCUUCAAUUAUAUCAGAAAGUGUUAAGCUAAGAUUUUUUUAAGUAUCAAAGCAUUUAUUGAGAGCAAUUACAUAGCUCUCAUUAUUUUCAUGGUUGAAAAACUAUAUAUAUUAUAUAUAAACAUAUAAAUUGUUUUAUAAUUUUCAACCAUA
ensembl:lncRNA